GGUGUCAUCCUUAAUUAACAGGAGACACAAGAUAUGGAAGGAGAUAGCCCUGGAAGACAGUCAUCUCCACACUUGUCUAUGGAAAGAGGUUCAGAGAGCCCUCUGCAUGUGAAAACUUCUGAGAAGAACUGCCUCUUGACACAAGACUACCCCUUUGUUUCCAGUCAAGGCAACCACAUGACAGACCCUUUUGUGUCCUGUCCAUGAAGAGGCAUGAAUCCAUGUUCUCCCUUCCCUUUGGAGCCAUGCAGCUAUCUUUUGUGAAAUGGACUGGUGGUCAAUGAAAAGAGGCAAUAUGUGGGGAUUUCAGCACAAAGACACCCCCAGAGGAAAGAUGGUAAGACCCAGGGAGAAGGCAGGUGGCAUCAACCUUGAGGAGCAGGCGCGGCCAGAUCAUCACCUCACAGCCGGCAGAAGAAACAGCACCGUGAUCUUGGGCUUCUGGUUUCCAGAACUGUGCAGCGUCCUAUACAUGCUUGUUACACCUAUGAGGUCUAGAUCUUUUGUCCUUGUUUCUUUUUUGUCUUAUUGUGGGAGAUUCAUGGAGACUACCCCUGAGCAGAGAGAUCAAAUACUACACACAAAUGAACAACAAUGUAAGAAUAAAAAU